GGGGAAUAUUGGACAAUGGGCGCAAGCCUGAUCCAGCCAUACCGCGUGGGUGAAGAAGGCCUUCGGGUUGUAAAGCCCUUUUGUUGGGAAAGAAAUCCAGCCGGCUAAUACCUGGUUGGGAUGACGGUACCCAAAGAAUAAGCACCGGCUAACUUCGUGCCAGCAGCCGCGGUAAUACGAAGGGUGCAAGCGUUACUCGGAAUUACUGGGCGUAAAGCGUGCGUAGGUGGUCGUUUAAGUCCGUUGUGAAAGCCCUGGGCUCAACCUGGGAACUGCAGUGGAUACUGGAAGUCUUGAGUAUGGCAGAGGUGAGUGGAACUGCGAGUGUAGAGGUGAAAUUCGUAGAUAUUCGCAAGAACCCCAGUGGCGAAGGCGGCUCACUGGGCCAUUACUGACGCUGAGGCACGAAAGCGUGGGGAGCAAACA
rnacentral:rRNA from 1 species